rnacentral:rRNA from 1 species
GACGAACGCUGGCGGCGUGCCUAAUACAUGCAAGUUGAGCGCUGAAGGUUGGUACUUGUACCAACUGGAUGAGCAGCGAACGGGUGAGUAACGCGUGGGGAAUCUGCCUUUGAGCGGGGGACAACAUUUGGAAACGAAUGCUAAUACCGCAUAAAAACUUUAAACACAAGUUUUAAGUUUGAAAGAUGCAAUUGCAUCACUCAAAGAUGAUCCCGCGUUGUAUUAGCUAGUUGGUGAGGUAAAGGCUCACCAAGGCGAUGAUACAUAGCCGACCUGAGAGGGUGAUCGGCCACAUUGGGACUGAGACACGGCCCAAACUCCUACGGGAGGCAGCAGUAGGGAAUCUUUCGGGCAAUGGACGAAAAGUCUGACCCGAGCAAACGCCGCGUGAGUGAAGAAAGGUUUUUCGGAUUCGUAAAAACUUCUGUUGG